AGAGUUUGAUCCUGGCUCAGAUUGAACGCUGGCGGAACGCUUUACACAUGCAAGUCGAACGGUAACGCGGGGAGAAGCUUGCUUCUCUCCGGCGACGAGUGGCGAACGGGUGAGUAAUACAUCGGAACGUGUCCGCUCGUGGGGGACAACCAGCCGAAAGGUUGGCUAAUACCGCAUGAGUUCUACGGAAGAAAGAGGGGGACCCGCAAGGGCCUCUCGCGAGCGGAGCGGCCGAUGACUGAUUAGCCGGUUGGUGAGGUAACGGCUCACCAAAGCAACGAUCAGUAGCUGGUCUGAGAGGACGACCAGCCACACUGGGACUGAGACACGGCCCAGACUCCUACGGGAGGCAGCAGUGGGGAAUUUUGGACAAUGGGCGCAAGCCUGAUCCAGCUAUUCCGCGUGUGGGAUGAAGGCCCUCGGGUUGUAAACCACUUUUGUAGAGAACGAAAAGACACCUUCGAAUAAAGGGUGUUGCUGACGGUACUCUAAGAAUAAGCACCGGCUAACUACGUGCCAGCAGCCGCGGUAAUACGUAGGGUGCGAGCGUUAAUCGGAAUUACUGGGCGUAAAGGGUGCGCAGGCGGUUGAGUAAGACAGAUGUGAAAUCCCCGAGCUUAACUCGGGAAUGGCAUAUGUGACUGCUCGACUAGAGUGUGUCAGAGGGAGGUGGAAUUCCACGUGUAGCAGUGAAAUGCGUAGAUAUGUGGAAGAACACCGAUGGCGAAGGCAGCCUCCUGGGACAUAACUGACGCUCAGGCACGAAAGCGUGGGGAGCAAACAGGAUUAGAUACCCUGGUAGUCCACGCCCU
rnacentral:rRNA from 1 species